UUUAAAAAAAAUUGAGAAAUAGAC
rnacentral:piRNA from 1 species